rnacentral:rRNA from 1 species
GGGCGUAGCAAUACGUCAGUGGCAGACGGGUGAGUAACGCGUGGGAACAUACCCCUCGGUUCGGAAUAGCUCAGGGAAACUUGGAUUAAUACCGAAUACGGCCGAGAGGCGAAAGAUUUAUCGCCGAGGGAUUGGCCCGCGUCCGAUUAGCUAGUUGGUGAGGUAACGGCUCACCAAGGCGACGAUCGGUAGCUGGUCUGAGAGGAUGAUCAGCCACAUUGGGACUGAGGCACGGCCCAAACUCCUACGGGAGGCAGCAGUAGGGAAUAUUGGACAAUGGGCGAAAGCCUGAUCCAGCCAUGCCGCGUGAGUGAUGAAGGCCUUAGGGUUGUAAAGCUCUUUCGUCAGGGACGAUAAUGACGGUACCUGAAGAAGAAGCCCCGGCUAACUUCGUGCCAGCAGCCGCGGUAAUACGAAGGGGGCUAGCGUUGUUCGGAAUCACUGGGCGUAAAGCGCAUGUAGGCGGGUCUUUAAGUCAGGGGUGAAAUGCCAAGGCUCAACCUUGGAACUGCCCUUGAUACUGGAGACCUUGAGUCCGGGAGAGGUAAGUGGAACUGCGAGUGUAGAGGUGA